rnacentral:rRNA from 1 species
GCUGGGCCAUCACUGACGCUCAUGGACGAAAGCCAGGGGAGCGAAAGGGAUUAGAUACCCCUGUAGUCCUGGCCGUAAACGAUGAACACUAGGUGUCGGGGGAAUCGACCCCCUCGGUGUCGUAGCCAACGCGUUAAGUGUUCCGCCUGGGGAGUACGCACGCAAGUGUGAAACUCAAAGGAAUUGACGGGGGCCCGCACAAGCGGUGGAGUAUGUGGUUUAAUUCGAUGCAACGCGAAGAACCUUACCAGGGUUUGACAUUCUGCGAAUCUCUUGGAAACAGGAGAGUGCCUUCGGGAGCGCAGUGACAGGUGGUGCAUGGCUGUCGUCAGCUCGUGUCGUGAGAUGUUGGGUUAAGUCCCGCAACGAGCGCAACCCACGUCUUUAGUUGCCAGCAUUUAGUUGGGCACUCUAGAGAGACUGCCGGUGAUAAACCGGAGGAAGGUGUGGAUGACGUCAAGUCAUCAUGCCCCUUACAUCCUGGGCUACACACGUACUACAAUGCUACGGACAAAGGGCUGCAAGUUCGCGAGGACAAGCAAAUCCCAUAAACCGUGGCUCAGUUCAGAUCGUAGGCUGCAACUCGCCUACGUGAAGGCGGAAUCGCUAGUAAUCGCAGGUCAGCAUACUGCGGUGAAUACGUUCCCGGGCCUUGUACACACCGCCCGUCACACCAUGGAAGUUGGCCACGCCCGAAGCCGUUACUCCAACCCUUGUGGAGGAGGACGUCGAAGGUGGGGCUGAUGACUGGGGUGAAGUCGUAACAAGGUAGCCGUA